rnacentral:rRNA from 1 species
GAUGAACGCUGGCGGCGUGCCUAAUACAUGCAAGUCGAGCGAACAGAUGAGAAGCUUGCUUCUCUGAUGUUAGCGGCGGACGGGUGAGUAACACGUGGGUAACCUACCUAUAAGACUGGGAUGACUCCGGGAAACCGGGGCUAAUACCGGAUAAUAUUUUGAACCGCAUGGUUCAAUAGUGAAAGACGGUUUCGGCUGUCACUUAUAGAUGGACCCGCGCCGUAUUAGCUAGUUGGUAAGGUAACGGCUUACCAAGGCGACGAUACGUAGCCGACAUGGUAGGGUGAUCGGCCACACUGGAACUGGUACACGGUCCAGACUCCUACGGGAGGCAGCAGUAGGGAAUCUUCCGCAAUGGGCGAAAGCCUGACGGAGCAACGCCGCGUGAGUGAUGAAGGUCUUCGGAUCGUAAAACUCUGUUGUUAGGGAAGAACAAAUUUGUUAGUAACUGAACAAGUCUUGACGGUACCUAACCAGAAAGCCACGGCUAACUACGUGCCAGCCGCCGCGGUAA